rnacentral:rRNA from 1 species
GACGAACGCUGGCGGCGUGCUUAACACAUGCAAGUCGAACGGUGAAGCGCCUUCCUUUUUGGUGGGUGUGGAUGAGUGGCGAACGGGUGAGUAACACGUGAGUAACCUGCCCCCUUCUUCUGGAUAACCUCAUGAAAGUGUGGCUAAUACGGGAUAUUCUGGGUCUGUCGCAUGAUGGGUCUGGGAAAGAUAUUGUUUCGGUGGGGGAUGGGCUCGCGGCCUAUCAGCUUGUUGGUGGGGUGAUGGCCUACCAAGGCGGUGACGGGUAGCCGGCCUGAGAGGGUGGACGGUCACACUGGGACUGAGACACGACCCAGACUCCUACGGGAGGCAGCAGUGGGGAAUAUUGCACAAUGGGCGCAAGCCUGAUGCAGCGACGCCGCGUGAGGGAUGGAGGCCUUCGGGUUGUGAACCUCUUUCGCCAGUGAAGCAGGCCUGCCUCGUUUGUGGGUGGGUUGACGGUAGCUGGAUAAGAAGCGCCGGCUAACUACGUG